rnacentral:rRNA from 1 species
AUUGGACGCUGGCGGCAUGCUUUACACAUGCAAGUCGAACGGUAACAGGCCUUCGGGUGCUGACGAGUGGCGAACGGGUGAGUAAUGCAUCGGAACGUGCCCAGAGGUGGGGGAUAACGCAGCGAAAGCUGUGCUAAUACCGCAUGUGAUCUGAGGAUGAAAGCGGGGGACCAAGCAGCAAUGUUUGGCCUCGCGCCUCUGGAGCGGCCGAUGUCAGAUUAGGUAGUUGGUGGGGUAAAGGCCUACCAAGCCGACGAUCUGUAGCUGGUCUGAGAGGACGACCAGCCACACUGGGACUGAGACACGGCCCAGACUCCUACGGGAGGCAGCAGUGGGGAAUUUUGGACAAUGGGCGCAAGCCUGAUCCAGCAAUGCCGCGUGCGGGAAGAAGGCCUUCGGGUUGUAAACCGCUUUUGUACGGAACGAAAAGGCUCUGGCUAAUACCUGGGGCUGAUGACGGUACCGUAAGAAUAAGCACCGGCUAACUACGUG